AGUUUGAUCCUGGCUCAGGAUGAACGCUAGCUACAGGCUUAACACAUGCAAGUCGAGGGGCAGCAUUGGAGUAGCAAUACUUCAGAUGGCGACCGGCGCACGGGUGAGUAACACGUAUCCAACCUGCCGCUUACUCGGGGAUAGCCUUUCGAAAGAAAGAUUAAUACCCGAUGGUAUAAAGAGUUCGCAUGUUCUCUUUAUUAAAGAAUUUCGGUAAGCGAUGGGGAUGCGUUCCAUUAGAUAGUUGGCGGGGUAACGGCCCACCAAGUCUACGAUGGAUAGGGGUUCUGAGAGGAAGGUCCCCCACAUUGGAACUGAGACACGGUCCAAAUCCUACGGGAGGCAGCAGUGAGGAAUAUUGGUCAAUGGACGAGAGUCUGAACCAGCCAAGUAGCGUGAAGGAUGACUGCCCUAUGGGUUGUAAACUUCUUUUAUAAGGGAAUAAAGUGAGGGACGUGUCCCUUUUUGUAUGUACCUUAUGAAUAAGGAUCGGCUAACUCCGUGCUAGCAGCCGCGGUAAUACGGAGGAUCCAAGCGUUAUCCGGAUUUAUUGGGUUUAAAGGGAGCGUAGGUUGACGUAUAAGUCAGCUGUGAAAGUUUACGGCUCAACCGUGAAAUUGCAGUUGAUACUGUAUGUCUUGAGUGUACAAGAGGUGGGCGGAAUUCGUGGUGUAGCGGUGAAAUGCUUAGAUAUCACGAAGAACUCCAAUUGCGAAGGCAGCCCACUGGGGUACAACUGACACUGAGGCUCGAAAGUGUGGGUAUCAAACAGGAUUAGAUACCCUGGUAGUCCACACAGUAAACGAUGAAUACUCGCUGUUUGCGAUAUACAGUAAGCGGCCAAGCGAAAGCAUUAAGUAUUCCACCUGGGGAGUACGCCGGCAACGGUGAAACUCAAAGGAAUUGACGGGGGCCCGCACAAGCGGAGGAACAUGUGGUUUAAUUCGAUGAUACGCGAGGAACCUUACCCGGGCUUGAAUUGCAGAGGAACAUAGUUGAAAGAUUAUGGCCGCAAGGUCUCUGUGAAGGUGCUGCAUGGUUGUCGUCAGCUCGUGCCGUGAGGUGUCGGCUUAAGUGCCAUAACGAGCGCAACCCUUAUCAUUAGUUACUAACAGGUCAUGCUGAGGACUCUAGUGAGACUGCCGUCGUAAGAUGUGAGGAAGGUGG
rnacentral:rRNA from 1 species